rnacentral:rRNA from 1 species
AGGAUAAACGCUGGCGGCGUGCUUCAGGCAUGCAAGUCGAACGAACACUUCGGUGUUAGUGGCGAACGGGUGAGUAACACGUGAGUAACCUGCCCUAGGCUUUGGGAUGACCCUCGGAAACGGGGGCUAAUACCGGAUAUUCAUGCUUCACGGCAUCGUGGGGUGUGGAAAGUUUUUCGGCCUGGGAUGGGCUCGCGGCCUAUCAGCUUGUUGGUGGGGUGAUGGCCUACCAAGGCGACGACGGGUA